rnacentral:rRNA from 1 species
GGAUUGAGAGCUUGCUCUCAAGAAGUUAGCGGCGGACGGGUGAGUAACACGUGGGUAACCUGCCCAUAAGACUGGGAUAACUCCGGGAAACCGGGGCUAAUACCGGAUAAUAUUUUGAACUGCAUGGUUCGAAAUUGAAAGGCGGCUUCGGCUGUCACUUAUGGAUGGACCCGCGUCGCAUUAGCUAGUUGGUGAGGUAACGGCUCACCAAGGCAACGAUGCGUAGCCGACCUGAGAGGGUGAUCGGCCACACUGGGACUGAGACACGGCCCAGACUCCUACGGGAGGCAGCAGUAGGGAAUCUUCCGCAAUGGACGAAAGUCUGACGGAGCAACGCCGCGUGAGUGAUGAAGGCUUUCGGGUCGUAAAACUCUGUUGUUAGGGAAGAACAAGUGCUAGUUGAAUAAGCUGGCACCUUGACGGUACCUAACCAGAAAGCCACGGCUAACUACGUGCCAGCAGCCGCGGUAAUACGUAGGUGGCAAGCGUUAUCCGGAAUUAUUG